CUGAGUUCCCUCAUGUCAGAUUUGAUACAUUGCAACAGAGCAAAUCUUGGAAAACUCUAAAUAUGGACCCCCAAAAGCUUUGCCAGGGAGUGUCCAACGCAGUCCAUAAACAGGAGAAAAUCAACAACGUAAAAAACUUUGGCAACAGACAGGUACCACUCAAACACUAAAUCCCUUCAUGAUUGCUGACACCGAGAUGCCUCUAAAAGAGAUUAUACCUUCCCCAACAGCAAAAGAUGAUCCCCAUUAGCAAAAGGCUCAAUCCAGUUAAUCGCCUGUCACCCAGAAAAGAAGGAUAGGGAUGAAUAACCAUCACUGACCACUGCCACGAACUUGCAACCGCUUCCUCUCCAGUUCAAGCACUUUCUUCACCCGCUCAUUGGCAGCAGG
rnacentral:misc_RNA from 1 species